rnacentral:tRNA from 1 species
CACAAGUGCCAGAUAAUAUGGGUUGGUUUUAAGCAUCAAAUAUGAGGUUUUCUCCUUGUGUGU